GGAUUCGACAUCAAGAGUUAUGGAAUAACAUUUCUGUUGAGAGGUGACAGGUGCCUACAGUCAGCACUUUCUGGAAACAAUUGAAGACGUUUUUGUUCAGACAAGUUUCCCCAGCUGGAUAAAUGGGUUCUUGCCACAAGCACCCGUUCUGUAGGGUUUUAGUUUUGCCUUAGAUGUAUCUGCCGUUUUUAAAUAAUCAGUUUUUGUGGUUUUUAUUGCAUAGAAUUGUCUUUAUGCAGUUGGGGCCAUUGUAAUAAUAAUAGCUAGAUUUCAAACUGCAUGGCAGGCUGUAGAGGUGAUGGUUGGACUUUUGUCUGUUAACGGUGGGGAAAUCUUAUUUAUUUCUUAUUUACUAUUACAUUUAUUUCCCACCUUUCCUCCAAGGAGCUCAAGGCAGCAUCCGUGGUUCCCUUCCCUCUGCAUUUCAAAAGAAGGGGAGAGGGAAGGGAGACUGGGAACCAACAUUCUCCAGAGGGAAAAGCUGUACCCCCAACACUGUUGUCUGUUUAUAGCUCACCCGCUUCUGAUAGCAUGAGUGCAUGCAUGUGGAUGUGGCAUGUAUGAAAAUAUGUCUCAUGAAAAUGCGGCCCAAGAGAAUAAAAUUAAAUCAGACCAAGUGCUGCAGUGCCACGUCAGCAUGCCAGCCUUAACCAGGGAUACUCCAUUCUGUUUCCUCAAAGCCAGUUAACCUGCUCUGUCCUCACUAGUGGAGGUUUCUCCCUCCUAAAGACAGAUUGCAUUUCUGCAAAACUUCGAGUUUCCCCCUGAAUCUGCUGAUAGCUCCCUCUGGGUGGGUGUUACUGUUUUGGCUACAUAAGGACUGGUGCUCAGGGAAUUGCAACCGCAUGGAAAUGCUAUUAAGAUCCUCACACCUCUUCUGGUAUAAUGCCAGCUCCAAUGCUUGGGCUUCAAUUAUUCACUUGUUUCAGCUUGCCUGUCAAUACAGAACUCAAGGCAGCUUAGGCUGCGUGCACACUGUGUUGUCAAGGCAGAUUUGGGGCACAUUCUUUCACUCAAAGGAUUCUGGGCACUGUAGUUUGCUGGGAAUUUUAGCUCUGUGAAGGGGAAAUGACAGUGCCCAGAAUUCUCUGAGGGAGAGGCCUAAUGGGCACAGCAACUCUUUUUCGGUAGGUCUUGCCCCUAUGAGGCAGUUGUGGAGACUGAAGACCCCCACUUUCCCACAGCUUUCUAAGUCUCCUUCUCUCCCGGGUUCUUCCCAAGUACUCUGAGACUACACUGAUGUGCCUGCCUUUGCUCCUCCCACUUCAUACCUCUC